rnacentral:rRNA from 1 species
UACAGAGGGGGCAAGCGUUGUUCGGAAUUACUGGGCGUAAAGGGCGCGUAGGCGGCCUGUUAAGUCGAACGUGAAAUCCCCCGGGCUCAACCCGGGAACUGCGUCCGAUACUGGCAGGCUUGAAUCCGGGAGAGGGAUGCGGAAUUCCAGGUGUAGCGGUGAAAUGCGUAGAUAUCUGGAGGAACACCGGUGGCGAAGGCGGCAUUCUGGACCGGCAUUGACGCUGAGGCGCGAAAGCCAGGGGGAGCAAAACGGGG